UCGGGUUAAACUUGAUGAGCCUAGCAUGUACAGACAUGGCCUCGGAACACAAGAGACCAAAAGGUCGAACAUGAGUCAUAUAGUGGAUAUGACCAACAUGGAGAUGUUAACCAUUGAAGCUAACUCAACUCACGUGAUGAUCGUACUUCAGUUAGUGAAUUUCGAUCAUGUGUCAAUCGAAUGACUAGGGGGAUGUCAAUUUGAGUGGGAG
rnacentral:lncRNA from 1 species